rnacentral:lncRNA from 1 species
ACAACUUGAGGAAAACAAACUCUUCUACUGCUGGAAUCUCCCCAAUCUUCUUCAACGUUACCUUGCUAGGUUGCUCAUCCACUCCAAUAGCCAUUACAGCAUGCUUCCGAGGCGCAACUCUUCCAACGCUCAUGAAGCUCACAUUCACGUUCUCCUCCCCCAAAAUGCUCCCAACCUUUCCAAUCAUACCCGGCUGAUCUACCUGUCUGCAAAGUAUAAUGCUACCUUCCAAACUCACAUCCACUUCAAAAGACCCUACCUUUGUCAAAUGGGGAAUCCCAUCUUUGACACGUCCCUCCACUGUAAUCUCCCCAGACUCAGAAAUGGCACUGGCAAAUUUUGAUUCCACAUUAGCAAUCUGAACCUGGAUGAACUCAAGUGGACUCUCAGGUGAACCAUCUAGAAUUGAUCGUUCUUCUGUUAUUCGGAGUCCUCUCUGUUUAGCAGAGAAAUCAGCAUUCACCAAGUUCACAAAAACACUGGAUAUGGGCUCAAUCAGACCCUUAGUGAUCAUGGCUCGGAGUAGCCUUGUGUCAAGGUCAUCAGGAGCCCUGGCAGAAGCAUAUGUCACUUUCACUGACUUUACACCACUUCCACCGGAUACUAACUGGACAGCCAGCCUCCCAAGUUUCUCAGCAAGUUCAACAAAUGGUUUCAGCUCUGACAGAACCUGCAGUUCAGAAGAAAAAAAUAGACAAGUCAAAACCUUAAGCUAUUAUGCCAUAAACUUCAUUUCUCAGUAAAUUCUUUGAAUUUAUAAGAGAGAGACCAGUCUUUAAUUUAGCAGCCUGUUUAGAGAACCACAGACCACCAUGAUAAAGCAAAAUUGACUCAAUGGUACAUGAUGUAAAUAAGAAGUUUGGCGACAAACCCCUCCACAGACUUUCCUUUUUUGUAAUAGACAACAUAUUUAGCCACAAACAUCCAUCUACUUUAUUUUCCUGUCUACUGAUAUAAGUGGUUUCUAAUUUCC